ACUGUUUCCUACAUGAGACACUUUUCCUCCCACCUCUCCUCUACAACCUGUAGAUUUAAGUGAAAUUAAUACUGGACAGACCAUCAAUCGUUAUCUGUGGGCACUAGGAAACAGAAUAUCUUUUUCUUUGGACUUCUGAGAGUUUGACCUUAAUCAGUACCUCCAUAUAGUUGCAUAAAAGUGAAGGAAAAAGCUCUCCUCUCUUUUAAGAAAGAAGAAAGGGCACUUGGGCUCUGAGGUUGCUGAUUGAAGGUCACCAUGAAAUGUUUAAGUAUUUGUGGUUUGUUUGGUGUAGCACCUGCUUUGAUGUUAACCUUCCAAGAUGGAGCACCUCCCAUUUGAGUAUCUCCUCAGCUGUUUCUCCAGACUCUCCUUAAAAGAAAUACUUGUGAGGAUUUCUUGCAAAGUAAGUGCAGCUCAUCUCUUCUGUUCAUGACCUUCUCAGAAACUGAGACCUAACACUGAGCUAAGAUGGACUGCCCUCUCUCAAACCAUUCCUGGAGCAAGAAAAUUUAAUGUUUAUUUAACAAAAGACUUUUGGUUGGGAUACAAAGUCAUAUGUAAAAAGAGAGAGAAAAGGUUAA